UUAAAAAAGAUGUCAUAUUAUAACCUAUACAUGAUGAAAGUGUUUGUUACUAUACAGAAUCAAAAAUUUUUUCGUUAUAGUUUGUAAAUUCUCAAAUACAAACUUUCAGCAAACACAAAAUUAAAACAGCUUUGGUAUCAUUAAACAAAUAACAUCAAUCGAUUACUAUUUGUAUUUCUUUCAAACUUUCAAUGUACGCGCCAAGAAAUUAUAAUAAUUAUCAACACGUAGCCAAGUUUAUUUUACUCAAUAGUGCGCAUGCGCAAUCAAACUCGGUUUAAAAUAUUCACAUAACCUCCCUCCAACACCUUUGGGCGUACAUGCCAUAUAUAAAUCUUCCUUGUAUGGAAAUCUUAUAUAGAAUAAAUAAAUAAUAAGUGCGAGUCUAUAAAUACGAAUAUACGCGUGAAGGGGGGGCGUCGCCAUUUCCCUUCACAGGACUCUCCCCUUUUGAAUAUUUAAUGGUGACGAAUAGCUUCCGACCUGUAUUCCAGGCUCGAUGACGUAAAAAUUUCGUGCAGAAAGAGAGUAAUGUUCAUUAAUUCCAUAAGGGGUAAAGAUUCUUCUGCUGUUUGCGGAAAUGCAAUAUCAAAGAAAUGGAUACAUCAGCAAAUCAAAAAAAGAAAAAAGAUUGUGAAACGAUCGUUCGAUUCUACGAGCAAACCGAGUGAAAUGUAACCUAUGCCUAUGUGAUAUGUUAUGUACUAUAAUAUUUUGUGGCAGUGUCAAAUAGAAGAGAAAAUACGUAAAAUGUGAAAUAUAAAAACCCAUAGAUACAUAUAUACGAUCAUAAUAACCACAUCCAGAUUGAAAUAUUGUAGAAGACCAUACCAAUGAAAAAGAUGGACGCACAAUACUGGCAGCGAACGUCCUGGAAAUUAAAUGUAACAUGAUAUUCGGUGAGAAUGGAAUCCAAAGUUAUAAUAAGAAUCUUAAUUAACAGGAAAAAAAAUAUAAAAUUGGAAGAAAA